rnacentral:lncRNA from 10 species
GCUGGAUGUGUGGCCCUUCAGGGGAUGGAGAUCCUAGAUGUGGACUCAGAAAUCAGUGUGUUUCCUGGACCCUCCUGACAAGUAAGUUAGAACAGAAGAGGCAUCUAUGUGGGGCCUUGACUCACCCCAGGUAUUUUGCCACUAGUUUCAACAUUCCUUCUCUGAGAACACAAACAUACAUGGGAGAUAGAGGUGUUUACAAUCCUAUUUCCUACCUAUACACAAAGCCCUGGGCCACUGAAUCAGUAAAAUUUAUGGUGAUUAAGCCUCUGCACAGGGGUGGUCCAGUAUCACCAUGGAAACAUCACACCCUUCUCCCAGCCCAGGAAGUGAUGGAGGGUGAUGGGUAGGCACAGUGUCAGGAAUCAGGCUUAGACAGAGGCACGUGCAGCACUGGAGAUGACUGAUGGAGGGAGAGAGAGGCUCUGGAGCAAGGGAGCUUAUCACCUGCUGGUGUCCCAAGGAGGACCAGAUCCAACUGAGUGAAUCUAGCAGCACAAAUUGGGAUCUGAGCUCUGCAGAUGUGGGGGAGGAACUGGUAAUGCUCCCUCAUAGUCCCUCCCUUUGAACAGGAGCUGGCCUUUGACUCUCAAGUCCAGCAUCUAGUUAUUACUGAGAUGUGCUUCCCUGAAGAUUCCUUCUGGGGUGGGAAGUAGGGCUGCCAGUUUCUCUGCGGCAAACCCCAGAGAUUAGGAUGUUGUUUGUUUUUCAAAUUUUAACAUUUUAUUGUGCUUUUUCCUCUAUCUUUUAAAGAUCAGAGCCCAGUUAUUGGCCAAAGCAGAGCCUCUGGCUGUCCUGGACAAAGCUGCCAGUCAGAGCUGCUUGCUCAGUGUGGGGCAUCUGGUGUGACUGGUGGGACCCUGUGUUUCAAGGGUCACAGUGCUCCCUGGAACCCCAUACUUACUCUGAAGACAGCACCCCACCAUGUACCCCUUCCUUCUGCCAUGGCCACAUGAGCCUGCAAGAGCUGCCAGGCUGACAUGGGGCUUUCUGGCCACAGUGACUGAUCCAGGGAUGGGAAGAGAUGUAGCCUUGGCGUUGGAAGUUUUCAAGUCUUGGGUAUGUCUGCAUGCACAGUAUUGGCAGCGUGAAAAUGGACUUCAAAGGAGGAAUGUGUCACUAUGAGCUCUCUGCCAUGUGAGGGCGCCAUCCCACAAGGGAAGGAGAGGAGAGCUGGCUGGACAGCAGCACUCAUGUACAGAAUGCCAGUGGUCCCGUGGUACAGGCUGUCAUGGAAAUGCAGAGCAGAGCCACAUAUGGCCAUGUCACUCAGGCUCACGGCAGAAGAGACUUCCCUUGUCUUAGAUGAGACUUCAGACUUGGACUUUUGGGUUAAUGCUAGAAUAAGUUAAACUUUGGGAGACUGUUGGGAAGGCAUGAUUGAGUUUUUAAAUGUGAGAAGGCCAUGAGAUUUGGGAGGGGCUGGGGGUGUAAUGAUAUGGUUUGGCUCUUUUUCCCCACCCAAAUCUCUUCUCUAAUUGUAAUCCACAUGUAUCAAGGGAGGGACCUGGUGGGAGGUGAUUGAAUCAUGAGGCAGUUUCCCCUAUACUGUUCUCAUGAUAGUGAAUGAGUUCUUAUGGGAUCUGAUUGUUUAAAAAUAUAGCACUUUCACCUCCCACCUCUCUCCUGUUGCCAUGUAAGGCGUGCCUUGCUUUCCCUUCACCUUCCACCAUGAUUGUAAGUUUCCUGAGGCCUCCCUAACCAUGAGGAACUAUGAGUCAAUUAAACCUCUUUUC